CGUCCCAUUCAUCCAUCCAGCGCCGUGACCAACAGGUGUAAUGGCGGCGCCCAGCACCAGCAAUACGCAGUGAAGGAGAGAUCUGUGUAGCUGACUGAUUGUGCCUUGCUGAGGAACUGAAUCUUGGUUCUGCGGUUGCUCCAUUGAUUACCCGGACUUCACGUCCUCACUCUGCUCAAGCUGAGGAAUUUCUGACUCGACAUACGCCACGAACCAAGCGCAAAAGUAACUGAUGCAGACAUGUCCGUACGACAGCCAGCAUAAGGCAAAGACCAGUCGCUACCUCAUACACUUGAUGAAGUGUAGAAAGACAUACACCUUCAACCAAGCACAAGAGGAACUUAUGCUGACAUGUCCAUACGACAGCCAGCAUAAGGUAAAGACCAGUCGCUACCUCAUACACUUGAUGAAGUAAAAGAAGACACACAGCAACCAAGAUUUUUCAGAAUGCCUUUUCACGGCAGAGCAUGUGGUCCCCGCGGACAAGCUAAUAGACCACAUCUAUUGCUGCCCUCUAAACUUUACAGCGCAAAACUUCGCCCCUAAAACAGAUGCCAUGAACCAAGCGCAAAAGGAACUUUACUGACAUGUCCGUGCGACAGCCAGCUUAAAGUAAAGACCAGUCGCUACCUCAUACACUUGAUGAAGUGUAGAAAGACAUACGCCAGAAACCAAGUGCAAAAGGAACUUAUGCUGAUAUGUCCGUACGACAGCCAGCAUUAGGUAAAGACGUGUCUCUACCUCAUACACUUGAUGAAGUGU